ACUGAGCAAAGCAGCAGGAGAAGAAGGAGAAGGUGUUACUACGGGAGACAGGCACUGUUUUUGGGGGGGAUCGCGCAAGAAGUAUAAGUGUAGACAUGUUUGACACUUCUCAUUACCCCUUUAACUGUUUUAACUAUGAUGGAGACUCAUACGCUUCAUGUAGCACCGAUCAGGAGAAGAAGAUGUGUCGACCUGCCUACAGCUACAUUGCCCUGAUCGCCAUGGCGAUCCAGCAGAGCCCUGAGCAAAGGGUCACCCUGUCAGGAAUCUAUGAGUUUAUCAUGAGGAGGUUCCCGUACUACCGCUCCAACCAGAGAGCCUGGCAGAACUCCAUCAGACAUAACCUUUCGCUCAACAGUUGCUUCAUCAAGGUUCCCAGGACAGAGGGAAACGAGAAAGGUAAAGGGAACUUUUGGACUUUUGCCACAGGAUGCGAAUCCAUGCUUGACCUCUUUGAAAACGGCAAUUUCCGGCGUCGCAGGCGCAGGCGGAACAUGAAAAUUGGCCUCCGCGAUUCGGGAGAGGCUCUGCUCCGGCCUGCGGAGAGCCUGGGCAAACAGCGCGCCCCCGUGGUCCGCCACCCUGAGGCAGACUCUACCCUUUGCCCUUCAAACCCCCAGAGGCCUCGAGCAUCCCCCACGGUUAACCCCUUGGCCCCAAAACCGGAGUCGGAGAUCAAGUUCAGCAUUGACUACAUCCUGUCUACGCCGGACCCGGCUAUGCCCGGGAUCAGAUCCUCUCACAUCGGCCAAGUGCACAUUGGACCACCCAUACAUGUUCUGGAGCACCAACACCUCAACCUGCACUUCUGGACCCUGUGAGAGAGAGACUGAAUCCUCUUCAUUCACCAUGAGGCGUUGUGACAGCUUUACGGUCACGGAGGUGCUGGAGCCUAUCACAGCUAACUACGGGGAGUAGGCAGGGAUCGCCCUGAAUUGGUUGCCAGCCAAUCAGAGGGAACUUUGAGACAAACAACCAGUCACACACACACUCAUACCUAUGUUCAAUCAGCCUUCCACGCACAUUUUUUGGAUGUGGGAUGAAACCGGAGUCCCCGGAGAAAACCCACACAGGCACAUGGAGAACAUGCAAAGUCCACAAAGGAAGGCCAGAACCUAGGAUUGAACCCUUGAUCUCAGAACUGUGAGACGGAUGUGCAAACCACUCGGCCACCUAGACUACGUUGAGACCAAGUUAACUUCACCGCACAAUGGUCCCCCCCCCCCCCCCCAUUUGAUCAAGCACUAUUUAUUAGUCAUUUUGAAAACAGGAUUAAAAUCAGUUCAUCCUUGACUCUGGGCAAAUAUUGUUUGAUUGUAAAUCCAUGAUCCAAACCCUCCCUUGUUUGGGGUUUGUUUUCUUUGUGUACUGCAGCUUCAGUCAGAUUGCCAAAACAUGCAUGUAUCUAGGUGUCAUUGAAGACUAAAUGAUCCUUUAAAAAUGUGAAUGGUUGAUUCUCCUUAUAUCCAAUGCAGCUAGCCUUAGGGUGUACAACUCCUAUCAAAAAGUAUGGAAAAGCUUGAAAAAAUAAUGAAUCAGUUCAAAAGUGCAACUCUUUAGCAUUGCAACCAAACCAAAGUUCCAGCAUCAUCACCUUGUCAAGAGUCAUGAAUCUGCAUUGGACAAGGUGUCAAGAGUCAAAAAUCUGCAAUGGACAAGGUGAUGAUGCUGGAACUUUGGUUUGGUGCUGUUCCAGUGAGAUUUACAAAGAUGACUGCCUGAAGAAAACAUCAAAAUUCCCUCAGUCCUUGAUGAUAUGGGUCUGCAUGUCAGGCAAAGGCACUGGGGAGAUGGCUGUGGUUAAAUCUUUAAUAAAUGGACAAGUUUACAUUGAAAGUUUAGAUAGAUUUCUUAUCUCUUCAAUUGAAAAUGUGUUUGUCAUUUUCAAAGAUGACAAUGCAUCAUGCCACAUAGCUAAAACUGUUAAAGCAAUCCUUGGAGAAAGACUCAUCCAGUCAAUGUCAUGGCCUGCAAAUAGCCCAGAUCUCAACCUUAUUGAAAACCUGUGGUGGAAAUUGAAGAAAAUAGUCCACAGCAAGGCUCCGACCGGCAAGGAUGAUCUGGCAACUGCCAUCAAAGAGAGUUGGCACCAAAUUGAUGAAUAAUAGUCAUCAAGUCCAUGCAUCAGUGACUGCACAUCUCUAAAUACUAGAGAUGUGUUUUGAUUGUUAUUUCUUUGUUUCUCAUGAUUCCAUAUUUUUUCCUCAGAAUGGAGUGAUUCCAUAUAUAUUUCCCUGUACUUGCUCUAUAAAAGUAAAAUUUACUGACCACCACAAUGUUUUAUAUUCAUUUCUUUUAUUGUUCUGAAUGCUAAAGAGUUGCACUUUUGAACUAAUUCAUUAUUUUUAUCAAGCUUUUUAUCUGAGUUUGUUCUACAUGAUAAAAUGUCUGAAUGAGUGCUCGUCCGAGACUGGUGAUUUCAUACUUUUUGCUGGGGGUUGUAGUUGGGCAAAUCAGCUGGGCUUCUGCUCACUUGUAGCCUUGCCUUAAUGAGGAUAUUGGCUAAUGACAAUGGAUGGAAGGAUGUUUCCUUCUGAAAAGUCUACUAGAUUAUGUAUGAAAUCUCACUGAUUUCUUCAUAUUUGUACAUGUAGUAUGGGAAAAUCGUAUUAAAAAAAAAGGUCACUGAUGAGGUAGGUGUAUGUUCAUCUGACUUUAGGGGAAGCAGCGUGACUUACCAAUAUUUAUAAAACAUGGUAAUAGAAAAACAUUUAAUAGUACAGGUAGAUCCCAAGGCUACGACGUCCCUGACUUACGUGAUUUCGACUCUACAACGCUGGAGUUUCGUUCGCCAUUUUGUCUCCAGUUUUUUUUUUUUUUUUUUUGUCGCAUAAACAGUACCUCAUUAUUGUCAGGAAAACCGGGCAGGCAGGUGGUGUGGACCCAAAUGCAGGGAAACGAAAAGCAGCAAGGCAGGUGGCGGUGAACUCAAAAAGGCAAAGUUCAAACAAAACUUACUUUAUCGGAGGGACUAAUACACGAGGGCUUGGACAGGACUUCGACAUCGACAUUGACAAUGACGCAACAAGGAGUGAAAAGAAACUGAGCUUAUAUACACACAGAGACGAGGUGUAACAAGACAACUAGGAACAGAUGGGUGAUGACACAGAAGGAUUCAGAUUGUCGGAUACACUAGGCGCAGGUACAACAGGUGAAAUCAAUGGGUAAUCACAGGAACACACUAGGAGGGAACCAACUCAAAACCUAACAAUUAUAACUCACAGUAUUUUAUUUUUUACUUUAUUUUAUUAAUAUGACUGUUCUGGCCUUUUUUAAUAUGACUGUUCAGGCAUUUGGCAAAAUGUGUAUUUGAUUAUAAUGUUGACUUUAGUUUUGUGAUGCAUGCUUUUAUUUUAUUUACGCAGGAAGCGUAGAGGAGGCAGUGCUUCUGCACGCGAGUAAGAGUGCAUGUACACACGAAGAAGAACAUAUUGCGCACACUAUAAAGAGCACACCCGCACACACGAGGAGGAGGCAUUUGCUCCCACGAAGAAGUCGUGCAGCUGAGUGAGAGCGGGGAAAGAUUACUGUAGUUCGCUGUCUAGCUAGGAUUUAGCGCCAACGUCUCGGCAAGGACAGUACAAUGACGUAUAAUACAUGUUUUUGGAUAGUAUUUUGAGAUUUAGAGGGUAUUUAGGGGUACUUAAAGGGUUAAUUCCGACUUAAGCAGAAAUUCAGGUUACAUCACCAGCGUAGAAACGGAACUCGGUCAUAAUCUGGUGACUACCUGUAUAAAUAAAUAAUGUCAAAUAAAAUAAACUUUUACACUUAAAAUUACACACUUUCAUGAAAUAUGCAGGGUCCAAUGACAGCGUCAAAUGCAGGUUGCUAUGGCAAAGGGGUUGGAGCCCCACAAGGGGGGUUGGCUACUGCGGUGUCAUUGCAAAUAGCCAAUUCCUGUUGUUUCUGUGCAGUACAUUUUUGCAGCCCUCAGGGGCCCCUGUAUUGGCUGGGGCCCCAAGCAAUUGCCUGGCAUGCCUGUCCGCUAGCUCCGGCUCUGUGAAUAUGUUUGAAUGUCUGUACUUUUCACUGAACCAUUUUAAGGUUUGGGACACGCGUUCUCAUAAUAUAGAAUGAGAAUUGACCAAAUUUUGGUUAUGUAUAUAUGAAGCCAUUAAUUGACUAGCAAUUGCAAUUAGUUCAAGUUCCAGUUUGCAUGUUUCCUUUUGUCACCAGGUAUACGCUCCAGCUUCCCAUGACUGAACUGGAGAAGUAGUAUAGAAACUGGAUGGAUGGCUCAAAAAUUGUCAAUACAACUGUCUGUCUAUCAAUAGUGCCUUUUGAAGUAUCUUUGCAUGACAGUAAAAACAUGGACGACAACCUCAACAAGUGUCAUUCAGCAAUAACGGUAUGGUACGUUAAUUGAUUAUGUUGAAAGCUGUGCUAAGAAGUGAUGGAUGAAGAACUCAAUUUUUUUUUUUUUUACUUAAGUAAAAGUACAGAUACAGGGGCAAAAAAGGGAAGUGAGUGAGAGUUUGAGCCAAUACUCAAA